rfam:Ostreococcus tauri, RCC4221, WGS project CAID01000000 data, contig: 15, chromosome: 15
CCUCAACACAUAGUUGCGGACAGAUGUAGUGAAUGUGCGUGUCUAGCGCUCCGGCGGUGACAAUGCACCCUUCCGCGGCAAUGGCUUCGGUAUUCACGCCGACAACCAUCCCAGGCGUCACGUCGGCGAUGUCUGGAUUCCCUCCGUGACCUAUACCGACGAUGUGACCAUCUUUGAUGCCGAUGUCAGCUUUAUAGAUACCACUGUGAUCGACAAUCAGUGCGUUCGUGAUGAUGGUGUCGAGCGAAUCAGCGUCGCCGACGCCCGCCUGCUGCGACAUCCCCUCGCGAAG